AUACGUAGGUGGCAAGCGUUGUCCGGAAUUAUUGGGCGUAAAGCGCGCGCAGGUGGUUCCUUAAGUCUGAUGUGAAAGCCCCCGGCUCAACCGGGGAGGGUCAUUGGAAACUGGGGAACUUGAGUGCAGAAGGGGAUAGUGGAAUUCCAAGUGUAGCGGUGAAAUGCGUAGAGAUUUGGAGGAACACCAGUGGCGAAGGCGACUGUCUGGGCUGUAACUGACACUGAGGCGCGAAAGCGUGGGGAGCAACCAGGAUUAGAUACCCUGGUAGUCCACGCCGUAAACGAUGAGUGCUAAGUGUUGGGGGGUUUCCGCCCCUCAGUGCUGCAGCUAACGCAUUAAGCACUCCGCCUGGGGAGUACGGUCGCAAGACUGAAACUCAAAUGAAUUGGCGGGG
rnacentral:rRNA from 1 species